AUUGAACGCUGGCGGCAGGCCUAACACAUGCAAGUCGAGCGGAUGAAGGGAGCUUGCUCCUGGAUUCAGCGGCGGACGGGUGAGUAAUGCCUAGGAAUCUGCCUGGUAGUGGGGGAUAACGUCCGGAAACGGGCGCUAAUACCGCAUACGUCCUGAGGGAGAAAGUGGGGGAUCUUCGGACCUCACGCUAUCAGAUGAGCCUAGGUCGGAUUAGCUAGUUGGUGGGGUAAAGGCCUACCAAGGCGACGAUCCGUAACUGGUCUGAGAGGAUGAUCAGUCACACUGGAACUGAGACACGGUCCAGACUCCUACGGGAGGCAGCAGUGGGGAAUAUUGGACAAUGGGCGAAAGCCUGAUCCAGCCAUGCCGCGGGUGUGAAGAAGGUCUUCGGAUUGUAAAGCACUUUAAGUUGGGAGGAAGGGCAGUAAGUUAAUACCUGGCUGUUUGGACGUUACCAACAGAAUAAGCACCGGCUAACUUCGU
rnacentral:rRNA from 1 species